rfam:Coccomyxa subellipsoidea C-169, whole genome shotgun sequence.
GCUGGCGGGAGUAGCGUCUCGUUGUGACCCAAGCGGGAGCUGGUGCGCGAUGGACGGUAGUCUAGUGCAUCCCGCCCACGCAUGUCUGUUGACGGCUGCGUCCCAUUCAAGGCCGGGGUCUGUGCCGGUUGCCGAUCGGAGGAUUGGCAGUCGAGGCAGUUAAAGGCAGGCGAACCGGCUCAGGGCGGAAACGCAGCAAGCUCAGCCUGCGCCCUGGUCGGUGAAGGGAGAACGUGCCAGAGGGCAGAGCGUGGAAUCUAGGGAGGUGCUAGUCCUGUGGGACCGCCUACCUA